GCGGACGUGGCGGAAUUGGCAGACGCGCAGGAUUAAGGAUCCUGUGGUAGAAAUACCGUAUGAGUUCGACUCUCAUCGCCCGCA
rnacentral:tRNA from 2 species